AAUCUUUCUCUUUGGCAAGAGACAACGCAGUAGCAUACCUGCGGCUCUGGUUCGCUUCCGGUGCUGGUUCACUUCUGGCGACGUGUGGCUCUAGUUUGUUUCCGGCUUUGGUUCACUUCUGGACGUGCGAUUCUGGUUGCUGUGGCACAAUCAGGUGGAUUGGCCCGUCUUCUAUCACAGUGUGAUUAUGGACAUUUUGAUGAUGAUGAACUGGGAAGGUGAUUGGAGCCUCACUAGACCUUUGUAAGUUGACAAUGUCAUUGCCUAAUAAAUAAGAGCAACCAAUUGAAUAUGGAUAUUAGAAGAGUAUGCUUCAUGCUAUAGAGAAGCAAGAGUUAGGACGAACGAGUACAUGAUCUUUGAUGAUGAAAGUUAUUGUGCAGGAUGAGUACAUUGAGUUUUGCAGAUCUUGUAAUCAAGUUUGAUCUUAAGGUGACUCUUCACAAAGGCCUUAGGCAUGAAUUGAUGUGCAGAACAAAGAGGGUGGGGUUAAAGAGGAAAGGAAUCAAGAAAACAAAAAAUGUUGAUGUGGGUGGUGCUGAAACUUCGUUUGGAGGAAAUGUGUUGGAAUUUGAAGGACAAAAAUGAUGGAUUAGUGUGAGAAGCUCUGCCAUCUCUCUAGAAAUUCCUAAAUUUCUAUGGUUCCAAUAUCUCGUUGAUGACAAAAGUACGGUCACUGUUUAUGGAAGGGGCUUCUUCUAGGGCUCUAGAUAAAGCAAGGGUUUUGACUCUACCUGAGAAAUUGGGUUUAGGGCAAGAUGAACUGGUGGGUAUUUCUAAUAAGGGUGGAUCUUCCAGUAAUCCUAAUAGUGUGAACAUGGGGGGUGAAGGUAGUCUCAGUCCUAGUGCGAAAUCUUUUGUUGUGUCAAUGGAGGGUCUACGAUCGAAGAUUUGAGCGAUGGACUCAGAAGGUUCUGCUUCAGUGUUCAAUUUGCUCCAGUCUAGAUGGUCGGACGUAGUUGAGAUGGAAGGAGGAGAGGAGGCUGUCAUUGAUAGAUUCAAAGACCUUCCUAAUAGCCUGGCUAGGAAUCUGGUAUCUAAACUUAAUCAACAAGAGGUUUCUUCAGGCAAGAUUAGGGGAAAAUCGUAUCUGAGUGCAGAUAUUCCAUGGGCUGCAGGGGCUCAAAGUUCUAGGAGUCGACAAAAGGAAGGUAGAUCGGGAUUAUCUGCUACCAGUAGAUGAGGCAGAGGAGGUCGGGGUCAGGGACCUUACCCAGGUGGACUGAAUAAAUUUCCAGCAGCGGUGAGGGAGGAGAUAGCACCUAAGCCUGUUGAAAAGAGCUAGGCAUCUGUUGUUGCAUUAAAUCAGAGGUCAUUUGUGAAGUUAAGGUACUCUCCUCCCUCUGUAGUGGAAACUAAUAUAGUUAUUGGUCUUCAUAAAAUGGAUGAUAUUGAAAAAUGGGAAGAAACUCUCGUGGGCCAUUUUUUGGCCAAAAAUAUGAAUAUUGCAUAUAUUAGGGUGAACCCUCAAUUGAAUAUAUUUAUACUUCUUGUUUCCUUUUUCUUGUUUUCAUUUAUCUCUGUGUAGCUUGAGGCAAAACACUUUCACACACUGUUUGGUUGUUGAGAAAAAGUUGGGUAAGAAAAGAAACUAUAAUAUGCUCUACUUUCUUUUGGAUUGUUUGGAGGCAGGAACUUUUACUCCUAAGAUAACUACUCUUGAUUAAGUUGAUGUCCUCUUUUUUUUUGUCGCUUAGACAACCAUUUCCAUUUUACUCUCUUUCCCAGGUGGAUUGGUUCUUUUAGAACAACAUUCAACAACCUAAUAAUUAUGUGGUUGUUUGUGUUUUCAUUUUUACUUUCUGGUGUAAGUGUCUCAGAAUUGUUGUUGAUUUAUUCGAACUUCUUUGUUAUGUUUUUCAUGUUUUUUUAACUUUCAUUGAUGACUUGUCUAGUAAAACAGUAGUAAUUCUAAAGAACUUUAUGAUGUUCAUCAUUCCCUCACCAAUAUAUUGUUCUCUCUUAAUUUUUUGUAGUUCUUUCCCCUGAUCUGUCUCUAUCACUUAGUGGAGGGAAAAAUAAGUUGAAACAUUUGUGUUUCGGAGACAUAUUCAGCAUGCCUUAGUAUCCAUUUUCAUAGUCUGGGAUAUUUCUCAAACAUUUUUAGGGUCUUGAGAUGAAGCAGUUAUUUUAGUUCAUUAUCUGGUCCCCAUUUCAAUUAACUAUUCCUCCUAGUUUGCCUAUUAUAUAAUGUUUUUUUUAUGGAUAUUUGCCCAAUUUUUGAGUUGCUUUUUUUUUUUUGGCUGCGUUGGAGGGGAAGUCAAGCAUAUGACCUCCUAGUGAGUGAAUAUUUUUUUUGGAACAUUGAUGGUUUUAAGAUUUGGCAUUUGCAUGUGUAUUACUAGAAAAUCGUUUUAUUGAAGUGUGUGUAUAUAUAUAUAUAUUUAGAAGAUCAUAUAUGCAUGUGUAUUACAGCCUUUUUGCAGGAAUCUUGGUGAUUAAAUCAUUUCCUAGUGGAAAAAGGUUUCUCAUUACUUUCACAUAAGCAUGAUCAAAUGCAUUUGGUGUGUGGUCUUUUUAAAGUGCAAAAUUACAAAUGAUUAGUAGGGCCCCGCUUCAUAUUGGAGCAGUGGUUCAGAGAUGAAAACCUGGUCUGCAUCUUGCUACUGUGGAUUUGAAAGGCAAACCAUAUGAUUCUUGCUGGUUAGAGAGCCAAAGACAAGCAACUUUGCUACUUGGGCAAUUUGCUGCCAUAGAUUCAGACUGUAAAGUGGAAUGAAAUAGUUAAAAUUAAAUUUUAAAUUUUUUGAACACAUCCCAUUCACUGUUAUACAUUCUUAUAGUUUUAUAUAUGAUUUGUGCAGGUGCACAUUGUUCAAAAAGGUGUUGUCCAACAACUAAUUGAGAUGCUUCAAUCCCCACAAGCACCAAUGAGAGAGUCAGCAUUUGCGUUGGGAGGGUGUUUUUGCUUCUUGGCUGAUGGGUGUUUUGUUUCUUGGCUGCUCAGCCAUGCUUAGUUCUUGAUGGUUGAUGCUGGAAUCUGUUAGCAAUGUUUUGGCCAUGUUUCUUAGGUGAAAAAAGAAGUAUUUACUCUGUGGUGGCUGAUGUUGCUGUUGUUUUUUUCUUUUUUGAUAUCCUCUUCCUGCUGCUAUGGGUUGCUGCUGGUAUGUGUGGGCAAUGCUCUUUUUAUCUGGCUACUGUAACUGAUUUUAUUUGUAUGUGUUUAGAUUUGGUUAGAUUUGGCUGCUACUAUGGCUGCUGUUGCUCUGGGUUUUGGUAUGUUUUAGAUUUGGUCACUUCUCUAUCUGUUAAAGGUCAGUUUUCAGGAAUCUGAACAGCUGUGCUUCCUUGCUUGUUCUAUAUGUUUAUCAGACUUUGCAAUCUGCAGGAAGUUCUAGAAAACAGUAAGAAAUUGAAUAGAAACUUUAAAGGACAUAUUCAAAGAAAUUUGAAUCUAUGUUUUUUUGCAUAGUGAAAAGUUGAGCAAUAUUAUUAUGUUAGAUAAAUAAUGUUAAUUAAAAUUAAGCUUUCACACCUUCUGAUAUGAAUGUUUCUUUGAUUGUCAGCUGCUAGUGUGGCUUCUCAAUGGUUGGAACUCCUUCAUCAAGACACUAAAGGGCAUCUUGCUGUUAGUUUAGAAGCAAUACAAAUGGUUAAUGUUCAAUUAUUUGGGACUCGUGGAGCUCACAUCUUAGGGAUAUAAUGAUAUGGGGAUCAGAUAUGUUAGCAACCAAGCGAGGGAAGUCAUGUAGUCGUCUCAUUUCUUUUACCGAGCCAAUGAACCGUCUUGACUUUGAUACAGUAGCAGGUUUAUUUACUUAUUUGGUAGGUUAUAAAUAAUAAUAAAAAAAUUUGUUUGGCCACUUUAUAAAACUCUCUGACUGGAAGAUUUUGUGAUUUGGUGGGUCAAUAUGGGUUCGAUAAUGAAAAAAUUAUUUAUGUCUAUUAUAUUUAGUUCACAUAUGUUGUUACGUUCUUGAGCAUACUGCUUUGAUGUUAUAAUUAGGUUUUAGUGGUUAUCUUUUUCUUUUUCUUUUUCUUUUUCUUUUUUUUUCUUCUCUGUACAUGUGUUUAAGAACUAAGAAGUAAACUAUUGCAAUGGCUACUUGUCAUUCUGUUUGCAAGAUGGCAUAUUUCAUUCUGGCAUUAUCUUUUUGCUGUUAAAAGAUUUUCCUGAAUGCUACUAUCUUGACAAAGUGGCUAUAAUGUGUUCAUUUGGUUUUGUGAUCGGUUAGAUCUUCUGUCAGCUUGUAUGUGUUACACUUUUAUUUUCUUUUUCCAUUUUUUUUGUGUGCUUAUGGAUGUUCUGAUAAUGUCUUCAAUUUACCAAUUAUGUUGGAUGAAAAUCUCCUGCAUGGUUUUUUAACAUGGUCCAUAGCGUCUGACAUAGUUGUAGAGGGAAAAUUCAUUUUGAGCCAUUACUUUUUGUAUUUGCAGCUUCAUUUCAGAAUACACAAGGAACUCAGGAUGAGGCUGAUCCAAAUAAUAUAACUGUGCGUACUUUCUUUUCUUUCUUUUAAUCUCUCAAUUUUUCUUUCUUUUGGAGAGAAUGGGGCUGAUAUGCUUGUAGACAACAAUUUGCAUGGCCAAAUAUUUGUUGGUGGUGUGAAUGAAAGUGUUUCAGAUGACCAACUCAGGUAAGUUUUCAACCCAUAUAGGCAAUUAGUCCAUGGCCAGAUAAUUUAUUUAAUCCAGGCUGCUUAUAAUGUUGGAGGUCAUGUAGUAAGUGCAGUUACAAUACAUAAUUCUAUCCUUGGAUGCCACAUGUCUCAUCCUAGACAGGUAUAUCCCUUGCUAUAGGUUUUGUUUUGAAGCCUUUUUCCGUUCUUGAAGUCCUUGGUGUUUAUUUUGUUAUAGUCUUUGAAGUCAAGCUUUUACUUCUCAUAUCUUUUAUAUAUGAAAAGUAAAAGCUUUUACUACAUCAGAUCAAGCGUGUUAUACGAUAUUAAGAUUCCUAUUAGAUUGAAGGGACAAUUUUGUGGGACUGUUACUAGGCUUGUUAUGAUGUAUAUUGUAUUGAAUAUUGGCAGUUAAGAAAUAACAUGUUUAGUAAACAAAAUAAGUUGAAAUGAGAAUGUUUGGAUGGAUGAGUGGUGUGACAAGAAAUGAUUCCUCAAGAAACAUUUUUGUCCCUGAGUUGUUAGUUUUUGUACUAAUGUGAAAUUUUCUUUGUCAUGCAGACAAGAAAUGCAACAGGGUUAGUUGCUCCAGCUAUUGCUGUGGGUUUAGGUGCCUUAACACAUACAUUGGGCACCCUCGUCCCUGUGAUAGGAGCAAGUGGAUUUGCUACAGCUUCAGCAGCAACUGUUAUAGGAACUGUUGUCGGUAGUUUUAGAUAAUCUCUUAAUAGUUGUCGAUAUGUUUAGAAAGUUAGAUAUGUAUAGUUUUGGAUGGUUUAAACUUUUUGUACCGUUUAGAACUUAAGGAUAUAGUUUUCGAAUGUUUGGAAUGUGUAGAUAAUUGUUGAAUGUUUAUAAUUUAUAGAUAUAGGUUCUUUGUGAUGUUUCAAAUAAUAUUUUGGUGGUUGAUUGAUGUUUUGUGAAUG